rnacentral:rRNA from 1 species
CCUACGGGAGGCAGCAGUGAGGAAUAUUGGUCAAUGGACGCGAGUCUGAACCCGCCAUGUAGCGUGCAGGAUGACUGCCCUAUGGGUUGUAAACUUCUUUUAUAAAGGGAUAAAACGAGGUACGUGUUCCUUUUUGCAUGUACUUUAUGAAUAAGGAUCGGCUAACUCCGUGCCAGCAGCCGCGGUAAUACGGAGGAUCCGAGCGUUAUCCGGAUUUAUUGGGUUUAAAGGGUGCGUAGACGGGUGGUUAAGUUAGUGGUGAAAUUUUGCGGCUCAACUUCGAAAUUGCAAUUGAUACUGGUAGGCUAGAGUAUAGUUGAGGUAGGCGGAAUGUGUGGUGUAGCGGUGAAAUGCUUAGAGAUCACACAGAACCCCGAUUGCGAAGGCAGCUUACCAAGCUGUGACUGACAUUGAGGCUCGAAAGCGUGGGUAUCAAACAGGAUUAGAUACCCUUGUAGUC